AACCAAACGCCAUGUCCUUUGCAAUCAGUCUGAUUUGUCGAAGCGCAACAUUUUUUCUUUCUCAUUCUUAACUUCUCUCAGAGGACUUCGAAUUGCACAAUACAUCUCUCCACAAGCUAUGAUCUCCAAGGGAUCAGUCGCCAUGAUGCUCAAAUCCAGUUUAUUUCUUUGUCCUUGGUCGAUUUUUAGGGUUUUCUUUUUAGAUUUUCUUUUAUUUUUGGUUGCUUUGGCUGGAGGAUCGGCGAUUGGAUAUCCAGAUUUUCGCUUUUAUCUGGUUAUGGAGUUUGUUCGUUUUGUUCUUUGAUUGCGGCAAUUGAUGGAUUUUCAUAUAAUGGAAUCGAGUGAUAUGUGGAUUUUAUUGUCUUCAUAUGCUUUCUCUGACCGGUUAGGGUUUAGUAUUGAUCGUGUUCUUGGUGUUAGAGAAAACUGAUUGGGCCGAGGAUGUGGAUAUUGAUUUGUUAGGUCAUCUGUAUGGUAUGGUCUGUUCAUUCUACUAUUGUGUUUUGUCUUUCUAGCAUGGAUGCGAAGAUUGCGACCAUUCAUUCACGACUUGGAGGAGGACCUGCGCCCAGCAAAGUUGUUUGUUCUCACUGAAAGAUGGGGAAUUGCAAUCGAAACCCCUGUAGGUUCAUGCACCGAGAAUCUUCACCUCCUAAUAUUUACCUAAGAACAUCUGAGCAACCCAAUGAGGAGCUCUACAAAAAUUCAUUGGCUUUGAGUGAUGGAUCUGAAGUUAAAACUGCUCAGAAUAGCACCAAUCAUGUUAUUAAGGAUCCACCUAGGAAACGCCCCAAUCCUGGGAAUUCUUUGGCUUCAAAUAGUGGAGGUGGAGGUGGUGGGUCUGAAUAUAAAUGCACUCGUGAGAGCUCCAGUUCUGGCACUAAGGCAAUGAAUUUGGAGAAGAUAAAACCAUCCUCUAAUUCAUCAGUUCUGGUUGUUGAAGGCAAUGCUUCUGAAGAAAAAACUGUUGAGUGCUCAAAAAAGGCAUGUGAGAACUGGAUGUCAGACAAAUGUGAUAAAGAAGAUGGGUGCCAGUUCUUGCAUUCA
rnacentral:misc_RNA from 1 species